GAACGCUGGCGGCAGGCCUAACACAUGCAAGUCGAACGGUAACAGAAAGUGCUUGCACUUUGCUGACGAGUGGCGGACGGGUGAGUAAUGCCUGGGAAUUUGCCUUUGCGAGGGGGAUAACCAUUGGAAACGAUGGCUAAUACCGCAUAAUGCCUACGGGCCAAAGGGGGGACUUGUCCUCUCGCGCAUUGAGAAGCCCAGGUGAGAUUAGCUAGUUGGUGAGGUAAAGGCUCACCAAGGCGACGAUCUCUAGCUGUUCUGAGAGGAAGAUCAGCCACACUGGAACUGAGACACGGUCCAGACUCCUACGGGAGGCAGCAGUGGGGAAUAUUG
rnacentral:rRNA from 1 species